rnacentral:ncRNA from 1 species
GUAAACGUGUUGAUAGGAACUAGUAGCAUGAUAUUCUAUCUGUAGAGAGCCGAUGGUUGGUGGAAAUCGGUGUUAGAUGCAUGUGAAUCCAUCCUUGAAUGAAUUGCUGAACUAACUAAGUGCUAUAGUAGGCUAUUCCGGCUGUGACCGUUAUUCAUUAAGUGGAAAAUACACAUGUUGUAUUUUUAACUAGGGUGGCAACGCGGGUAACUCUCGUCCCUUUU